rnacentral:lncRNA from 1 species
UCCUUGGGUUGGGUCCUUUGUCGGACUAUGAGAAACAAGGUCUUGAAAGCCUCAAACAUGAGCUCAAAGCCUCAAUUGAGAAGGGAAUCAAAUUUGCCACUCAAAGUUAAGUGUUUGAAUUGUACAAGGCUUGUGGGUGCCAUUAUCACAAGCAUUUAUUUCAGAAUUCAUCACAGUUUUGUUUGUCACUAUUUAUGUGUACUUGGGGGAACCAUUUGCCUGUUGUAGCUACG